rnacentral:misc_RNA from 1 species
UCCGGUUUGUCACCGGUAGUUUCUCAUGAGUCCCCAACUGAAUGCUGGCAACAUGAGACAGGGGUUGCGCUCGUUGCGGGACUUGACCCAACAUCUCACGACACGAGCUGACGACAGCCAUGCAGCAUCUGUGGCCCACCCUCGAAGGCGAGUGGCUUUCACCACCUUGCAGGGCCAUGUCGAACCUGGGUAAGGUUCUUCGCGUUGCGUCGAAUUAAACCACAUGCUCCACCGCUUGUGCGGGCCCCCGUCAAUUCCUUUGAGUUUCAACCUUGCGGUCGUACUCCCCAGGCGGGGUACUUCCUGCGUUAGCGCCGGCACCCAGAGGGUCGCUCCCCCAGGCACCUAGUACCCAUCGUUUACGGCGUGGACUAC